rnacentral:lncRNA from 1 species
UUUUCUAUAAUCAAUACACAUUCUACUUCCAGUAACCACUCUUUGUGCUAUAGAUUCUCCUUUUUCAUUAUUAACAACUAUGGCGCCUCCCUUCUUUGGUACGACAUGUACUGGGUUGACCCAUUGACUAUCGGAUAUCGGGUAGAUAAUACCUGCUUCUAACAGCUUUUGCACUUAUUUCUUUACUACAUCACUCAGAAUGGAAUUUAUCCUUCUUUGAAGUUCUCUAGAGGUCUUAC